CAUAGAGGAUUUGAAAAAAAAAUAAUUUAAAGUUAGGACAAGUCUUGGUCGCCUUGGGCCUCAAAAUAGGGGAUGGAAAAAAAUAAAAAACGGAGUAUUAAGUUAGGGCAAGUUUCAGACGACACAAUCUGCUUCGACACUCCGCAGGACGCAGCCUCCGCUAUCGCCUCAGGUGACAAGGACACUCUUAUUAGGAUCUCGUGAGGUUAUUUGCCUUGAACUUGAAUCAAAUCAUUGCAUAUUGAGGGCCUCACAUUUGAAAGUUUGCCUUGGGCCUCUCAAAAUUUUUGGAAUCUGAGGGCCGGCCCAGUUAUCAACAUGAAACUGAUUAUCAAAUUUUAUCACUUGAAAGGCCACGGACUACCGACACAGCUCGACUGAAGGUCGCCACAUCUGCUGUUUUCUUAGUUGCGUGUGCAACCAUGGCUUCCGUGACCCAAGACAAUGGUUUGAAGAAACUAGAGUACCUCUCACUGGUGUCGAAGGUUUGCACCGAGUUAGAAUCUCAUCUAGGGUUUGGGGACAAGGUAUUGGCCGAAUUUAUCACCGACAUGGGCCGAACCUGCGAGAAAGUCGAUGAAUUCGACGCCAAAUUGAAGGAAAAUGGUGCUGAAAUGCCCGAUUACUUUGUUCGAACGCUGUUAACAAUAAUUCAUGCAAUUUUGCCUCCCAAACCGAAGUCAAAGUCCAAUAAGGAGUCGAAUAAGGAUGAUGGUUCUGAAGGCAAGAAAUCUGACUUUCCGGGUUUGGGAAUUUCGGAUGGUAGAGAGAGAGUGAAGGAUCUGGAAAGAGAGAUUGAGUUGGAAACAAAGGAUCGAAGGCGAAGAGAAGAUGGAGAAGAGGGUAAAAAACGUAGGGACGGGGACUGGGAUAGAGACAUAGACAGAGAAAGGAGAGAUAGGCAUAGGGAGAGAGACAAGGAUGAGAGGGGUGAUAGAGGCCAAAGGCGUAGAGAUUGGGAGGGAAGGAAUAGAGAUAGGGAUGAAGACGAUAGAGGUGAUUAUAAGAGCAGGGGAAGGUAUAGAGAUAGAGAAGACAAGCAUAGGAGGGAUGGUUAUGAAGAAGAUGGGGAUAACAGGGAGGAUGAUGGUAGGAGGGACCGGCAGAAUGGUAGGAAUCAUUCAACUGAACCUGAAUUGUAUCAGGUGUAUAAGGGCAGGGUGUCAAGAGUUAUGGACACGGGCUGCUUUGUUCAGCUUAGUGAUUUUAGGGGUAAAGAGGGUUUAGUCCACGUUUCGCAGAUUGCAACUAGGAGGGUUGUUAAUGCAAAGGACAUUGUGAAACGGGAUCAAGAGGUUUUUGUUAAAGUGAUUUCAGUGUCGGGCCAGAAGUUGAGUCUUUCAAUGAGGGAUGUUGAUCAGAACAGUGGUAAAGAUUUACUUCCGUUGAAGAAGAGCUCGGGGGAGGACACCUUUCGGAUUAACCCUUCAGGAUCGAAUACUGAGGGGCCAACAACUAGGACAGGUCUUUCAGGGAUCAGGAUCACUGAAGAUGACAGUACUGUUCCGUCACGUCGGCCAUUGAAGAGAAUGAGUUCGCCUGAGAUAUGGGAAGCUAAACAGCUGAUUGCUUCAGGUGUCUUGGAUCCUAGGGAUUAUCCCAUGUAUGAUGAUGAAGGAGACGGAAUGCUCUAUCAAGAAGAGGGUGCUGAGGAGGAGCUUGAGAUUGAGUUAAAUGAAGACGAACCAGCCUUCUUGCAAGGACAAAGUCGAUACUCUAUAGACAUGUCACCUGUUAAGAUCUUCAAGAAUCCGGAAGGGUCCUUGAGCCGCGCAGCAGCCCUGCAGUCUGCUCUCAUAAAGGAACGAAGAGAAGUACGCGAACAACAGCAGAGAACAAUGCUUGAUUCUAUCCCUAAAGAUCUCAAUCGACCAUGGGAAGACCCAAUGCCUGAGACAGGUGAAAGGCAUCUUGCACAGGAGCUCAGGGGUGUAGGCUUAUCUGCCUAUGACAUGCCUGAAUGGAAAAAGGAUGCUUUUGGAAAAGCCCUAACAUAUGGGCAGAGAUCAAAGCUUUCCAUCCAAGAACAGAGGCAGAGCUUACCAAUUUAUAAACUAAAGAAAGAAUUGAUUCAGGCUGUGCAUGAUAAUCAGGUUCUGGUAGUAAUUGGUGAGACAGGAUCUGGGAAGACAACUCAGGUGACGCAAUAUCUAGCUGAAGCAGGGUACACUACCAGGGGCAAAAUUGGAUGUACUCAGCCCCGUAGGGUGGCUGCAAUGUCUGUGGCCAAGAGGGUUGCUGAGGAGUUCGGCUGUCGUUUAGGGGAGGAAGUUGGGUAUGCCAUUCGUUUUGAGGAUUGUACUAGUCCAGAGACUGUUAUCAAGUAUAUGACUGAUGGUAUGCUUUUAAGGGAGAUUUUGAUUGAUGAGAAUUUAUCUCAGUACUCUGUGAUAAUGCUUGAUGAAGCUCAUGAGAGGACUAUCCACACUGAUGUUCUUUUUGGAUUACUAAAGCUGCUUGUGGAGCGGAGACCCGACCUUCGAUUGAUUGUCACAUCUGCCACUUUGGAUGCAGAGAAAUUCUCAGGGUAUUUCUUCAACUGCAAUAUCUUCACUAUUCCUGGAAGAACGUUUCCUGUAGAAAUACUCUACACCAAGCAGCCGGAAAGUGACUACCUAGAUGCUGCUCUGAUUACUGUUCUACAGAUCCACUUGACAGAACCUGAGGGUGAUAUCCUCCUUUUCUUGACUGGUCAGGAAGAGAUUGACCACGCCUGCCAGUGUCUUUAUGAGAGGAUGAAAGGGAUAGGUAAAAAUGUUCCUGAACUAAUUAUUUUACCAGUCUACAGCGCUCUUCCUAGUGAAAUGCAAUCCAGGAUUUUUGAUCCUGCCCCUCCUGGAAAGAGGAAAGUGGUGGUUGCAACCAAUAUUGCCGAAGCUUCUUUGACCAUUGAUGGGAUUUUUUAUGUCAUUGAUCCGGGCUUUGCAAAGCAAAAUGUGUAUAAUCCCAAACAAGGGCUUGAUUCACUGGUCAUAACUCCUAUUUCACAAGCAUCUGCCAAGCAACGUGCCGGGCGUGCUGGGCGUACAGGGCCAGGAAAAUGCUACCGUCUUUACACAGAGAGUGCCUUUCACAAUGAGAUGUCCCCUACCUCAAUUCCUGAAAUCCAAAGGAUAAAUUUAGGAUCUACGACUCUUAAUAUGAAAGCUAUGGGAAUAAAUGAUCUUCUGUCUUUUGAUUUUAUGGAUCCACCUUCUCCUCAAGCUCUUAUAUCUGCCAUGGAACAGCUAUACAGUCUGGGAGCUCUAGAUGAGGAGGGACUUUUGACUAAACUAGGUAGGAAAAUGGCAGAAUUUCCACUGGAUCCACCAUUAUCAAAGAUGCUUCUUGCUAGUGUAGACCUUGGAUGCAGUGAUGAGAUCUUGACCAUAAUUGCAAUGAUUCAAACUGGAAAUAUCUUCUACAGGCCAAGGGAAAAACAAGCUCAAGCAGAUCAAAAGAGGGCCAAGUUUUUUCAGCCCGAAGGAGACCAUUUGACUUUACUUGCUGUUUAUGAGGCUUGGAAAGCAAAGAAUUUUUCUGGGCCUUGGUGUUUUGAAAACUUCGUUCAGUCUCGUUCAUUGAGGAGGGCACAGGACGUCCGAAAACAGCUUCUUACCGUCAUGGACAAGUACAAAUUGGAUGUUGUGAGCGCUGGGAAGAAUUUCACAAAAAUAAGGAAAGCGAUAACAGCAGGAUUCUUUUUCCAUGGGGCGAGAAAGGAUCCACAGGAGGGUUACCGAACCUUAGUUGAGAACCAGCCAGUUUAUAUUCACCCAAGCAGUGCUCUUUUUCAGAGACAACCAGAUUGGGUGAUCUACCAUGAGUUGGUAAUGACCACGAAGGAGUACAUGCGUGAGGUCACAGUUAUUGACCCUAAGUGGCUUGUGGAACUGGCACCAAGAUUUUUCAAAGUGGCAGAUCCUACAAAAAUGAGCAAGCGCAAGCGUCAAGAACGUAUUGAACCACUUUAUGACAGAUAUCAUGAACCUAACUCUUGGCGUUUGAGUAAAAGACGUGCUUGAUUUGUGCUUCAUCUGACACUCUUUCAGGUAAAAUAUAUAUAUUUUUUAUUUUAACUUUUUUUGUAUUUGGCAAAGGCCGAGUUCGAGGUCAAGUUCAUUGGACGGGACGUGUAAAAUAACUUGUCGAAUCUAAUUCAGAUUGAACAAUGUUGGAGAAUUUCAUUAUUAUUGGAGUGAUCAAAGCCUUAAAUCACUCUUCCAGAAUAUUGAUUGAUACGAGUGGAUCAUGGAAGUGAUUUUAGAACUAUUUCUUAUAUCAUAUAAUGAAAGAGAUAUAAUCUUUGAACUUUAUGUGUCGGGAAUGUAGGCUCUAGCGACUAAACCCGAUAUAUACUAAACCCGAUAAGUACUUGUGUUCAUGUUUAAUUUCUUGGUGAAGAGAAUGGUAGCACAAGUCGACUGAAUGCACUUGCUCAUCCGAUGAAAUGGCAGCUUAUAGACACCAAAUUGAGGGAUUAAUGUGGGCAUCAUAUCUAGCGAGAUGAAAUCAUUUACUGUUU